AGAAUCAACGCUGGCGGCGUGCCUAACACAUGCAAGUCGAACGAGAAAGUGGAGCAAUCCAUGAGUACAGUGGCGCACGGGUGAGUAACACGUGAAUAAUCUACCUCCGAGUGGGGAAUAACUUCGGGAAACCGAGGCUAAUACCGCAUAACACUUACGAGUCAAAGCAGCAAUGUGCUUGGAGAGGAGUUCGCGGCCGAUUAGCUAGUUGGCGGGGUAAUGGCCCACCAAGGCGAUGAUCGGUA
rnacentral:rRNA from 1 species